rnacentral:rRNA from 1 species
AUGAAGCUCCUAUGUUGGAACAUUAGGGGCUUCGGGCUCACUGGACGGAGGCGUCAGCUCAUCGAGUAUUUGCGUCAAGAGGAGAUUGACAUUGUGGGACUUCAGGAGACGAUUCGCCAGGAUUUAGUAUGCAUGAGCUCUAGGGGCUUUCCCGCCACCAGUUUGCCUGGUAGUGGCUGCCUACUAUGGGGCAAUCUAGGGUAUUCUGCUCGGAGUCAGGGAAGAUGCCUUCUCGGUGGAGGAUAUGGAUCGAGGGAAAUUCUUCCUGAGCAUGUCCGUCACUGA